AAUUUUGGACAAUGGGGGCAACCCUGAUCCAGCCAUGCCGCGUGUGUGAAGAAGGCCUUCGGGUUGUAAAGCACUUUCGGACGGAACGAAAUCGCGCGGGUGAACAAUCCGCGUGGAUGACGGUACCGUAGGAAGAAGCACCGGCUCACUACGUGCCAGCAGCCGCGGUAAUACGUAGGGUGCGAGCGUUAAUCGGAAUUACUGGGCGUAAAGCGUGCGCAGGCGGUUCGCUGUGUCCGAUGUGAAAGCCCCGGGCUCAACCUGGGAAUGGCAUGGGAAACUGGCGGGCUGGAGUGUGGCAGAGGGGGGUGGAAUUCCGCGUGUAGCAGUGAAAUGCGUAGAGAUGCGGAGGAACACCGAUGGCGAAGGCAGCCCCCUGGGCCAACACUGACGCUCAGGCACGAAAGCGUGGGGAGCAAAC
rnacentral:rRNA from 1 species